rnacentral:hammerhead_ribozyme from 1 species
AUUCAGCUGACGAGUCCCAAACAGGACGAAACGCGCAUCCUAGAU